ACACUCCUGCGGGAGGCAGCAGUGGGGAAUAUUGGACAAUGGGCGCAAGCCUGAUCCAGCCAUGCCGCGUGAGUGAUGAAGGCCCUAGGGUUGUAAAGCUCUUUCACCGGAGAAGAUAAUGACGGUAUCCGGAGAAGAAGCCCCGGCUAACUUCGUGCCAGCAGCCGCGGUAAUACGAAGGGGGCUAGCGUUGUUCGGAAUUACUGGGCGUAAAGCGCACGUAGGCGGAUCGAUCAGUCAGGGGUGAAAUCCCAGGGCUCAACCCUGGAACUGCCUUUGAUACUGUCGAUCUGGAGUAUGGAAGAGGUGAGUGGAAUUCCGAGUGUAGAGGUGAAAUUCGUAGAUAUUCGGAGGAACACCAGUGGCGAAGGCGGCUCACUGGUCCAUUACUGACGCUGAGGUGCGAAAGCGUGGGGAGCAAACAGGAUUAGAAACCCUGGUAGUCCCAUGA
rnacentral:rRNA from 1 species